rnacentral:rRNA from 1 species
ACUCGAGUGGCGAACGGGUGAGUAACACGUGGGUGAUCUGCCCUGCACUUCGGGAUAAGCUUGGGAAACUGGGUCUAAUACCGGAUAGGAGCCAUCUUUAGUGUGGUGGUUGGAAAGUUUUUCGGUGUAGGAUGAGCUCGCGGCCUAUCAGCCUGUUGGUGGGGUAAUGGCUUACCAAGGCUUUGACGGGUAGCCGGCCUGAGAGGGUGACCGGCCACAUUGGGACUGAGAUACGGCCCAG